GGACCUGUGGCCUAAUGGAUAAGGUGUUCGACUUCGGAUCGAAAGAUUCCAGGUUCGAGUCCUGGCAGGUUCG